AGUGAACGCUGGCGGUGGGCCUAACACAUGCAAGUCGAACGGCAGCACAGAGGAGCUUGCUCCUUGGGUGGCGAGUGGCGGACGGGUGAGGAAUACAUCGGAAUCUACUCUGUCGUGGGGGAUAACGUAGGGAAACUUACGCUAAUACCGCAUACGACCUACGGGUGAAAGCAGGGGACCUUCGGGCCUUGCGCGAUUGAAUGAGCCGAUGUCGGAUUAGCUAGUUGGCGGGGUAAAGGCCCACCAAGGCGACGAUCCGUAGCUGGUCUGAGAGGACGAUCAGCCACACUGGAACUGAGACACGGUCCAGACUCCUAUGGGAGGCAGCAGUGGGGAAUAUUGGACAAUGGGCGCAAGCCUGAUCCAGCCAUACCGCGUGGGUGAAGAAGGCCUUCGGGUUGUAAAGCCCUUUUGUUGGGAAAGAAAUCCAGCUGGCUAAUACCCGGUUGGGAUGACGGUACCCAAAGAAUAAGCACCGGCUAACUUCGUGCCAGCCGCCGCGGUAA
rnacentral:rRNA from 1 species